GUCCUGUCCACAAGCACCUGUGGAAUUUGAUAGCGAAAGGAUGUAGUGUUUGAAAUGACGACGAUUAUCAUUGCUUUAGUGUGGAAUUGAAUGGUAUCAACUGUGUUCCCUUGCGGAAAAAUCAUUCAUGAAUUGAUUUAUGCAAGGUGAAGAUGAUGAACAGUGAUCAAUCUCAUAACUCCUAUAAGCAAUACAAAAUAAAUAGUUGGGCAAACACGGACCCCUGGACACACCAGAGGUGGGAUCAGGUGCCCAGGAGGAGUAAGCAUCCCCUGUCGACCGGUCACACCCGCCAUGAGCCCUAUAUUCUGAUCAGGUAAACGGAAUUAUCCGCAGUCAAAAUCAGUGUGCCAAGAACGGCUUAACAAUCGGUAUGAAACACGUCAGACAGCAUUUGACCCAAUGUGAGGUUGUAUUGACGAACUAAAUCGUUAUAACGACCAUAGAAUUUGCGAAAUGCUGACUUCAAUCGAGACUGUUGAAAGCCCUGUACCAUCAACUUGUUUGUCAGUAGCUUACCCUGAUUUAAAAACUGACUAUACGCAGAACAAGCUAUUGCAUAUCAAAUCAGUUGAGAUAUAUAAACACCAUAUGCAGGUGAUAAUGGAAUAUUGCUACAUAAAUAUGGGAAGUUGACGAUGGAGAAGCUGAAAUCAUCCCGUUUGUCAUACAGUUGAGUUGUCAGUUUGCCGUUAAUGUCUACUUUCAAUAAAAUAUCUAAGUAUGAAGCAGAAGUGUUUGUAACUUUCUACCAAGAGAUUUGUGUGAAAAUAUAAUUUCUUUUUAAAAUAUUGUAAUAAAACAUGCUUUUCCCAUAUACUUCAAUGAUAAAUCCUAGGUGAAAUAAAUCAAGCAGUAAACAAAAUUUUGAAAAUCCCUAUGGUGGAUUAUUUUUAUUUGAUGAACCCUUCAAAAUGAUACCAUGAUUACAAAAAUUCCACCAUCCAUUUAUUAGAUAUGGAAUAUGGUAAUUAUACAUUGAAUACCUUAACGUGUCUUCGGAAGAUUGUAGCGAUACCGAGCCCUACCUAGCCGCUACGAUCUUGAACGCGACCCUUGGCACAGAAUCAAUCGUAUACGUAACUACUCGGCCAUUUCCGCGAACGAAAAAUAAUUUUUUAAAAGGCCGAGCGUGUUCCGAUUGGGCACAGAAUGUGUAGCGCACGGAACUCGGGGUAGAGAAUGCAGAUUGAGUGGCCUUGACUAGGCUACCACGCCCGACGUAUAAUUUACAUUAGUAAAAAAUGAUAAACUCCGAAUCAGCGUUAUCUUAUCGAAUCUACAUACAUCAAGUUUGAUUUGUUUGUUGUUUAACAUUCAUUUUAGAUAUUCUUUGAAUAUUAUGUUACCCUGUUUUCUAUAAAUGUAUGUGUAGUAGGGUGAAUUAAUAUCAAUAAUUUAUUUUAUUUUUAGUGUAAAUAAAAUAUGUAAGUUGCAAAACAUAAACUUUUAUUGGAUUCUAUAAUAGUCUUCCAUAUUUCUCUAUUUAGAUAUGUAGUAAUGUAAUUAUGACCUUAAUGGCUUUCCUUAUGAUUAAACCAUGCAUGCAGUUGUUGUUCAUGGUCUAUUUAAUUCAUUUUGGUUGGCUAGGCUUAGUGUCAAAGGUUAUAUAUCAUGGGUUUUGUGAGUUCUGUUGGAUUUUUAGAUAGUCAGUUGUAUUCACUAGCAGAGUGUUGAAGGGUGGUUUUCUUUGCAUAUCUUUUGACAUCUUUUUUCUGACUUGAGGUUCCUUGAAAAUCAGUUAUCUUCCUAUUUUUGAUAUUUUGGUUCUGGUACCAUAUAUCUGGUAAGAUCAUUGUUUUGUAUGUAUUUCUGUGAUGUCUAACUUGUAUUUGUCAUAUAAUUUCUUUUGUGUGUGUUCGAUGUGUACUUUACCAUUUAGUUUGCAUAAAUGUCAUAAAUGAUAAGAUUUAUUAUAUUUAAAUGCAUUAUGGGUAAAGAGCCUCAUUUUGAGAUUUAAAUGUUAUUUUAUAAUUUUUCUUAAACUUUACACAAAAUAAUGGACGAAUAAUUUUGUGUUCAUUGUAUUGAAAUUAUUUCCCUAGUAUUUGUAUAUUUUAUGUGGUGUGUGAUUGUGUAUGCUUAUAAUUGUUUAUUAUGUUUCAGAGCUGCUAUUUACAUGUCAGAAAUAGAUUUAUUUCUUCAAUAAACUCAUAACCUGUCA